UUUGUGUAAAUAUAGAAGAGAGGGAAUCGCUCGCUAUUCUCUAAUUGCGGGGGAGGCUUCCGCCUUUAAUUCACACCCCUCCUCUCUCAUUGGCUGUAGAAAAGCUGAAUUUGUGGCGCCAAAUCUGAGUCCUGAGCAGGAGAGGAGCUAGCUGGAAGAAGGAUGGGAAAUGUCAGCGCUGACAACUAGCGCACAUUGGAAAUUGAGCUGAGCGAGGGAGGAGGAGAAUGUCGACCCAGGAGCCUGGACAUUGUCACUGCUCAUAUAAGACACCCCUCCGGUCAAUGGACAAGUGAGGAGCAGGUAGCGAGCAUGCAGAGGACUGUCCAGAAAGGAGAAACUCGAUUCUCUUCCAUGCCUGUGUGUGUACCAGGCAGCACCCGAGUCUCCCCCCUCCCCUCCCGGGGGGAGGACGGAGCAAGCAGAACAACAACACAUUGCUACCCAUAAAGUAGGCACCGGAGCUCCACAAGGCAAGAUAACAGGACGGAUGUCAGACUGCAUUCUUCUCCUGGCGAUACCCUGGGAACCCUUUUCAACCUCCUGACCCACUUUUGGCAGCAAAAUAUGAUGACAACAGAAGUUUUGUAGCGAUGGGCAAUAAAGAAGAAAAAAAAAGGAACACACAAUUCUCAUACAAAAGCUCUCCGGGUGCAAAUCUUGAAGCCUUUUGAAUGAUGCUAGAAGUGCAAAAAUUGUCAAAGUAAAGAAAAACGUCACACAGUUCCAGGAACAGCGGGGACUGUAUAGCCGUAAACUGAAUGAAAAGUUAGUGAUUGUGGAAGUCAUGCUGAUAAAACUUCAAUGCUGAAUGGCAAUCAAGUAGAAGUUUGCUUAUAUUAAACAGAAUUUAGAGUUAUAAGUUGCUGACAUGAAAUAUUUAUGCAUUUGCUUUUAUCGUCACAGUACCACAUCCCCAAUUUCUGCAAACAUAUCUGUCAAAACAAUGGACUUUUAAGGUAUUAGGGGUCACAAAUAAACCAACUGAAUAACCCCUUUUCGACUUAAUUUCACACACCUGUACAUUACAUAUGGACCAGAGCAAAUUUUACAUUUCUGUUAUUGGCCUAUUGAUUCGUCAAGAAGAACUUUGUUAUUACAUAAAGUAAAACUAUAAGCAAAACUUUUUUUUCUUAUUUUGGAUAGAGGGAGGGGGGAUUAUAAUGUCUGGUAAUUUGUUUUGCUAUCAGUGUCUCAUUCCGGUCCUAUACUCAAAACAAGGGGUGAGAGGAAAUCCCUAAAAAUCAAGGGAAUCCAUUGGGAUCCCCCAGGUCACCGGAAUUAGUGUCCCCAUUGGAAAAUUUCCACUCCAUUACUGUUCUG